rnacentral:lncRNA from 1 species
AUGAGAAAAGAAGAGAAAAUUAUUUUCUUGACGCCUAGCCUCCUUCCUCUCUAUUCUUUCUCCAGUUUUUCUUAAUCUCUAGAGCGUCUGUGAGAUUUGAAGAAGAAGUCAGAUUAGCUAUCAAAAAGAAGAUCUCUGUAAGGGAGCUAGCAUCUCGAAGAGAUCACCUAUCUCUGAUUGGAAUGAGUCCUCAUGUGGAUACCUAUG